UACGUAGGGUGCAAGCGUUGUCCGGAAUUAUUGGGCGUAAAGAGCUCGUAGGCGGUCCGUCACGUCGGGAGUGGAAAACUCCGGAGCUCAACUCCGAGCCUGCUUCCGAUACGGGCAGACUAGAGGUAGGCAGGGGAGAGCGGAACUCCUGGUGUAGCGGUGGAAUGCGCAGAUAUAGGAGAACACCGGUGGCGAAGGCGGCUCUCUGGGC
rnacentral:rRNA from 1 species